rnacentral:rRNA from 1 species
AGAGUUUGAUCAUGGCUCAGAUUGAACGCUGGCGGCAGGCCUAACACAUGCAAGUCGAACGGUAACAGGAAGAAGCUUGCUUCUUUGCUGACGAGUGGCGGACGGGUGAGUAAUGUCUGGGAAACUGCCUGAUGGAGGGGGAUAACUACUGGAAACGGUAGCUAAUACCGCAUAACGUCGCAAGACCAAAGAGGGGGACCUUCGGGCCUCUUGCCAUCGGAUGUGCCCAGAUGGGAUUAGCUUGUUGGUGGGGUAACGGCUCACCAAGGCGACGAUCCCUAGCUGGUCUGAGAGGAUGACCAGCCACACUGGAACUGAGACACGGUCCAGACUCCUACGGGAGGCAGCAGUGGGGAAUAUUGCACAAUGGGCGCAAGCCUGAUGCAGCCAUGCCGCGUGUAUGAAGAAGGCCUUCGGGUUGUAAAGUACUUUCAGCGGGGAGGAAGGGAGUAAAGUUAAUACCUUUGCUCAUUGACGUUACCCGCAGAAGAAGCACCGGCUAACUCCGUGCCAGCAGCCGCGGUAAUACGGAGGGUGCAAGCGUUAAUCGGAAUUACUGGGCGUAAAGCGCACGCAGGCGGUUUGUUAAGUCAGAUGUGAAAUCCCCGGGCUCAACCUGGGAACUGCAUCUGAUACUGGCAAGCUUGAGUCUCGUAGAGGGGGGUAGAAUUCCAGGUGUAGCGGUGAAAUGCGUAGAGAUCUGGAGGAAUACCGGUGGCGAAGGCGGCCCCCUGGACGAAGACUGACGCUCAGGUGCGAAAGCGUGGGGAGCAAACAGGAUUAGAUACCCUGGUAGUCCACGCCGUAAACGAUGUCGACUUGGAGGUUGUGCCCUUGAGGCGUGGCUUCCGGAGCUAACGCGUUAAGUCGACCGCCUGGGGAGUACGGCCGCAAGGUUAAAACUCAAAUGAAUUGACGGGGGCCCGCACAAGCGGUGGGGCAUGUGGUUUAAUUCGAUGCAACGCGAAGAACCUUACCUGGUCUUGACAUCCACGGAAGUUUUCAGAGAUGAGAAUGUGCCUUCGGGAACCGUGAGACAGGUGCUGCAUGGCUGUCGUCAGCUCGUGUUGUGAAAUGUUGGGUUAAGUCCCGCAACGAGCGCAACCCUUAUCCUUUGUUGCCAGCGGUCCGGCCGGGAACUCAAAGGAGACUGCCAGUGAUAAACUGGAGGAAGGUGGGGAUGACGUCAAGUCAUCAUGGCCCUUACGACCAGGGCUACACACGUGCUACAAUGGCGCAUACAAAGAGAAGCGACCUCGCGAGAGCAAGCGGACCUCAUAAAGUGCGUCGUAGUCCGGAUUGGAGUCUGCAACUCGACUCCAUGAAGUCGGAAUCGCUAGUAAUCGUGGAUCAGAAUGCCACGGUGAAUACGUUCCCGGGCCUUGUACACACCGCCCGUCACACCAUGGGAGUGGGUUGCAAAAGAAGUAGGUAGCUUAACCUUCGGGAGGGCGCUUACCACUUUGUGAUUCAUGACUGGGGUGAAGUCGUAACAAGGUAACCGUAGGGGAACCUGCGGUUGGAUCACCU